UGGGAACAUCAUAUUUGUCUCUUCUUCCAAGUGCAGAGCCCACCAUUGCUUACCCAGAAGCUCCAGCAUGUGUAGACCACACAAGGUCAUCCAUCUCUGUGUUUAUCUAGACCAAAAGAUUGCUUUCUGAAAAUCCUGAAGACAUACAACUGCAGAGAUGCUGGCUGUCAGGAGUGUUCGUUACUGUUCUCUUAGAAUCCACUUAGCCAAAGAAAAGAAUUACGACAAAGUAGAUAAAUAAAAUGAAAGGUGGAUUCACAAUGGGAAGAAAGUCUCAUUGAGAAAAUGCAGGUGGACAUAUCUGUUUUGAAUUCUCUUCCUCAAGCUUCACUUACUAGUUGGCAUCUAGCAACCAGAAAGAAAUAUGAAGCUUGUGAAGUGUGGGAAAGCAGCCACCUUUGACAGGGAAAAGACUUUUUGCCAACCUUCAGCUCUGUGUGCCGAGCUUCCUACUGAAUUGAAGGGCAUUCCUUUCACCUUGCUAGAGGGAGCAGGUGAUGGACUGAGAUAGGAUGCCUGACCUAAAAUGGGAGACAGACUGAGGCCAAACCCUGAAUAAUUUGGUUGGGGAAAAUACCAUCUGAGCAAACAGAGUUUGGCUGGUGCGUUGGAUCAAGGAGAGCUUGAUCUGCCCUGUUAAAUACUGAAAGAGAUUGCACACUCAGAGGAGCAUGCAGACACACCUGGAAAACUGUCACAUCUCAUCCUAAAUUUUGAUGAUCUGUAUUAGGUUGAGUGGCAGACUCCACUUCUGAGAGCCUCUGAAAAAAAAAUGUGGAGCACCAUUGAUGAACCCUGCAUCUCUGGGUAAACUGGCUUCCUGUAGGCUCUGCUGUCGGAGCGGGAUGCCCAUGGGCAUUGCUCUUUCUGACACGAGGCAGCUGGAGGAAGAGCGAGCAGCAGCACAGCAGCAAGACCCAGGUCUCCAUUCAGCAGCUGAGCUGGCUGCACCCACCUGCACAGCCAGUGCUGCCACUUGCAGCUGUUCUGAGGAAUCAUGUUUGAAAGAGAGUGAGGGCACAGGCCGUCAUGACACUGCCAGCAACGUGCAUGGAGAAGCCUGUGAGCAAUUUCUUGGAUCCAGCCCAUUGGCACCUAGGCUGAGCGCUCCCAUCAGCUUAGUUCAGUUUGAGGGAUCUUUACAUAGCAUCAUACCGAGCAAACAGUAGGCUGAGAGCUCUCACAUUAUGUGUCAGUAGCAAGCACUGAUUUCCCAUUAUUUGCUGAUAUUAAUUACAUUUGUUGAAACUUUAUGUUAGAAGUACAGACAUUUAGAGGCAAAAGUGGGAAAGACGGUUCGUAUGGCUUCGGCUUCAUAUAGCCUAUGGCUCAGAACGAAGGAGAGGAGGGCAGCAGUGUUUUACAGUGGGUGAUGCAUGGACAGUAGAUGGAUGUGUGAGAUGAUAAAUAGGCACUGUAAGGCAGUGGGAAAGAUCUAAUGACAGUAUGUCAAGGAGAUCGUAUUUAGAUAGAACUGAAUAUAUUUGGUAAUAAGAACAAAUACUUCAUGAGCCUGCUAUGAUGCAAUGUUCUCCACGAUUUGCUUCUGUCAUUGUCAUGCAGAUUAUAGACAGCGUAUGUUUGUUUCAUGGCAGGCUUUAAUAAAAUUUUCCAAGACCGUCUGCCUUAAAAUGUAACUAGGGUUGCCUGAGUCCAUUUGGCUAAAACACUUUAAAGACAUGUAUUAUGAAGUGUGUUGAUUUUUUUUGUCCUGAGGUAUUAUUUAAAAAGUAAAAGUCACUGUAUUUUCAUACAGUAUAUUGGAAAACAAAGGGGUUCUGUCAUUUGAAGAAUAUCAGUCUCUUGUCUACGUGAACUGCAUUAGAGAUCAUAGCAAAGUGAACACUUCAAAGAUCAUGAACUUGACACUGUCAAGAAAAUUAUUUUAAAUUUUUGCUUGAACUUGUCACCACAAGGGUCUCUUUCUGCCUGUACCUCUCUCUUUAUUUGUGAAACCUACAGCUGUGGUGCUUCACUUAUAUUGAAAACCAUAAAAAUGCAACACCAAAGAAAAAAAAAGCAUAUCAAAAACAUUGAAAGAGUACAAAAUAGCUGCUGUUCUGUUCCCUGGGCUCUCUGCUUAAGAGCUCUAUUCACUUAAAACAUUUUCCAGCUUCUGAAACACUUGAUUAAAGUCAAUUGGGAAAAAGAUAAGCUGUUAAAAGUGCUAAUUUGUGACUCAGAAAACUUGAAUAAGUCUAAAUAUGAAAUUCUCUGUUGCUCUGUAUUCAUGAUUAUGGGGCUUGUUUAGAGAACAUUUUAACAUUUCAUUGCAGACUGUCUGUGCCUGCCUCUGCCUUGUGUUGUGUAUUUUUUAAGGCAUUCAUUAGUACAGUGUUGUGGUUCAGCUAUAAGCUCCCCCAGCCUCCUCUCAACUCUGAGAAUUUAGAAAGUCUCCUUCAGAUCAGAAACCAGGUGUUUCUUUUCCUUUCUCCUUCUCUGGCCAUAGAAGCCCAUAUGGAGUCCUUGCUUGACCUCAUGUGCUAGACUAUCAGUUGAGCUGAUAUUCUUGCUUAAUAAAUAUCCUCUCAUUCUUAGGCUGUGUUCAUAUGGAUGAAAUUUAGGAACAAAACCAGAACAAGUUGCACGGUGAUGUAUGCAAACAAGAAAGUUCUGCAUUGAGAAGGUAAAAAAAGGAGGAGCCCAAGCUAGAGUGUAACUCUUUGAAGCUGUGACAAAUCUAACUGUACCUUCCAGAAGUAUGUUUGCUACUAAUGGAGCAGAGUGAAAUGAUUUUUAGAGAAUAUACCCAGUAUUCGUAACUUUUUCCAAAUUAAGAUAGCUUAUCUUUCAGUGUCUUAACCGCUCCAUUUGUCAAACCUAAUUUAUUUUUCAUACUGAAGGCAUCCUCUACAUACUCUCUUCUUUCCUACUUUGAAGGUUAUUCCUAACUCUUCUCUCUUCUCUCUUUUUGCAAGAGCAAAACUAUCACUGCAUAUCUUAUUCAGAUAACUCUAUGCCUUGUCUCUCACACCUCACUUCUCCAGUUGACCCCUUUUUCUUGUGGUGUAUUUGUGAGAAUCCUGAUAUUAGCAGCAGUUGUGUAUUUGCCUUAAGAUGGGAAUUCACUCCUUCAACUGACAGUUUCAAGUCUGCCCUUGGGCUGCUAAUAUAGUCAUGUUGUAUAAUACAUAGACACAUACAGCCUACAAGGUGAAUGGCAGCAGGCUUCUGAGCACUUGAAAGCAUUUUCAGGAUCUUGAAAAUGAAUAUUUAGUUACUGGAGCCUGUCUUCCUGUCUUCCAUCCAUAAGCAUAUCAUGCAUGCAUCAUAUAACAUUGAGUUGUUUCUGAAAUGAUUCAUGUGUUGUGCUGGUCUUGAAAAGGGUUAUGUUUUUUUCCCCUCUACAAUGAUAAUCUCAAGUGUCAGAUUUGUUGCUUUGGUGUUGGUGAUGGUUUCAGAAGUGCCGUAAGGCUUUUGACAUUUUAUUUCUUGGCAAAGUGUUGGUGUGCCACUAAUGGAGAUGUUUUGACACUUGAGACUACCAACUGCAUGGAUUAAAACUCUUCCAGAGUCCCUGGAUUUCCUAACAAACUGGUGCACACAAUACAGAUGGCAACUUUACGUUGCCAGGUUAAAGUAAGUAGCUGCUGGACUUUUAGUAUUUUCUAUUUAUCUUUAUAUAUAGAUAUAUAAAAUACAUAAAAAUAAUGUAUGAAAUGACACAUGAAUUUAGUCAUGAACAAAAACACUUGGCUAUAGAAAGCACAGGCACCUUCCAAAGCUGCUUAAAGGAACUGAAAUAGCUGCUAAAACUUGUUAAUAAAUUAGUCUUUACACCAGUGCCAAGUAAGAAAUACUUACAAGAUACAGGCAUAAAUAAAAAUGCAGCUUGGGUGAUAUUAAAUUUAUAUUCAUAACAAAUUCAUUCCAAAAGUUAUCUGUUCAUUAUAGGAUUUCUGUUUUAAUAGUGCAUAUUUAGGUUCCUUUUGUGCGUUGUUUGUAAUAUUUUCAUUGAUAGAAUACAGGACAUAGGAAAGAAUCAAUUACUUGAGGGUGUUACUGGACAAAAGAGGAUGCUGAAUGUAAAAGACACUACAGGCAGUAUGGAGUACAAAAAAACUAUUGAGGAGCAAUCAGUAUUUCAGAGGAUUAGGUCUUUCCACUAAUCUGAUUAACAGGUCAGAGGCUGUUUUAGAAAUAUGUAGUAUCUUUAGGCUGAGAAAUCAGGGUAACUAACUUGCUGCAUUUCUAUUCCCGUGACUGACUGUACUACGCCGUUCAAAGGGCUGACCUUUGUAAGAAACCAGCCCAUUAACUGUGUUAUGAUAGGUAGAAGUCGAGAGCAAUUACUUAACACCUUAAAAUAAUGAGGAAAGCAAGCAUCUCCAAAUAUAAAAUAAUAUUAAAAAAUCUAUAUGACCUCUAUUCUCUAAGAGGUAGUGUAGAACCAGGAAAGAAAAGCACAGACUAAUGGCCUACCACAGCUUGAAGAACACCAAGAAACUGCUCUGGAAGAACAGAAUCGAGAAUACAGGUCAAAAAGAUAACAGCAACAAAGAAAUAAAUUAAUAAUCAGAAUAACAGCAAUAAGAAGUUCCGUGCAUGAAACAGUCAGAAAUGCUAUGUAUUGUAGUUGUAGCCACAUACUUGCAUGUUUCUUUUUUGUGCUUUUAAAAAGAAAAAGCUAAACUCCAUUGAACAUAGUCUGACAUUGUGCAUUGGUUUCUCAUCUCAGUAAAACUCUGAGCAUAUUGACAUGAUCAUUAAUAAAGUGGUGACGUAAAAUAUGUUACAGACUAAAAGGCCCAGUUUGAGAAAGGACCAAGGAUGCUCAGGAGAGAUUCGUUCCUUCUAACUGCACAGGUUAGGAGCCUAAUCAUCCUCCACUCACUAUAUAAUCAACGAAGAGACAGACAUUUCCAGAAGGUAAUUUAGGCCUCUCUGGAGAGUGAUUUGCCUCAUCAUAGAUCCGAAUCAACCUCUAAUGUUUUCUACAUCUCUUAACUUACUGUAUAUGGAGUGUAAGGUCACUAAGCUAUUAACUUCAGGCUUCAGCUCUGUUUGGGCAAAUACAAGACCUAGGAAGUUACAAAGCCUGAUAAAUUAUAGCACAGGCGAAUGUGAUUUAGUUAAAUGUGUAAUUUGUAGAUUGCAAUGCUGUGUAAGAUCACCUCAUUAAUUCCAGUGAUGGACUGAAUUCUGAAUACUUUGCACUGUAUAAAAAUGCAUGUGCUGCAAUCUUGUGGUCUGGUUAAGGGCAUGUUCUGCAGUGAAAGUGGCUUAUUUAGGUAAACACUCUGGAUUUGCAGGUCCCUCUGCCAAAUGGUACCACUCAACAUGCUGAUGGAUGAGAGGCCUGACAGGGGUUACAACUGAAAGGAGCACCACUGAGAUGCAGUUUCUGAUGAUGUGAAAGAUAUUCUGCCAGUCCCACAAAAUCACUAUGCCAGGGCAGAUUUCCCUCCCUUUGCAAAGUAUAGAGUCACAGCUCCUCUCUGGCUCACCCGUCUUUUCUGCUGGUGGGUAAAGGCAGUGUGAUACAAUACUUCUACUACAAAGAAUGCUAGGGAAACGUGGCUUCCUAUUCCUCCUCUUCCAAUGUUUUUGAACAACUGUCAUAUGUCAGCUGUGUUCAAGAACUGUAAGUAUAAUAUUUACUACUGCUAGUGAAUAAAGAUUAAGUGGAAAAAGAUGAAUGUAAGAAUGGUAAGGGGAUUGCAAUGAAGUAGAAAGUUAAAUUAGGUUUUGUCAUUCAGACCUCACAGAAAGAAUUUUGAGAAGGCAUCUUUCUUUUCAUAUUAAAAGAAAAAUAAAUUAAAAAAUAGGUGCUUUUAGAAACUGAGAUCACAAAGGAAAUGAACUUAGGAAGAUCAGCUGAGAAGCAUCGCUGAUCAUUGUCCCAGGUGUUCUUUUAAAUUCGGGCAAAAUUCAUGAGACUUAAACAUUUUGAUUUUAUUAGUUCCCCCUUCAUUUUGAUAGUCAGAUAUAAUGGAUUGUGUCCCUGAAGGGUGCAAUUCUGUGUCUCAGGAAAGAGGAGCUAGCCUUGGAAGGAAGGAGGGUGUCCUCUGCAGGGUGUCCAACAGGCCAAAAGGAGCGAGGUCAUGCUCAUAGAUCUGAAUGAAGAUGCCCCCUCUAACACAUGUGCAAUGGGUAGGGAGCGCAGGCAGAAAUAGGCCAUGGUUACAGGGAAAUUAAUUUUUCCCCAACCUACUUAUGUUUAAUCCAAGGAAAAUGUAUCUCUCCUGCUUCAUGUAAAACAAGGUUUUUGUACUGGAGACUACUGUGCUACAAGGAUGGUCUUUGGCUGAUCUUGCUGUUUUUUUCCUGUUUAGACCAGCCGGAAGAUUGAAUGCACUUCCUCGGUAUUCAGACCUAACAAUCCCUAGUAAUUAGCUGUCCCAAAGCUAGAUUAUUAGUAAGCUAUAAAAAAGUUUCUAAUUUCCAUCAACAAAUACAGUUUCCAGUCAUUAUAGUCUGCAAGAAUAGCGUCAAUUUAUUUGAGAUUUUCCUCUCCUAAGCAUCGGUAGGAAGAGUUAUUCCCAUAUGAAUAUAGAAGGAUGAUUAGAAAGAGACUUUUUCAAGAUGGCUUUAGAAUGAAGCAGCCAGACAUAAGAAUGUAAAUCAUGUUCUAUGGGAAGAAAAAAAAAAUACAUCAGGCUAAGAAUGCAAAUCAUAUUCAAGGGGAAAAUUCAGAUCAAUAUUAGAAUCUGCCUUGUGUGACUGCAGUAGCAUAAAAUUAUCUGCUGAGCUGCCUGUAAAAAUGACAGUAGAGAGAAGAAAAAGAUUUCAAGCAAAAGAUGGCCUGCUGAUAAUUUGGCACAAUUAAGCUCGAUUGUAACCCAAAUUGGGCGUAAAAUAUUAUAUGAAAACAGAUGCAGAAUACUUGUGGAAAGUAUCAGGUACAUUCUUAUUUCAUUCUUAUUCCAGUGAGAUGGAAUAUGAGAUGCUUGAGCGGUAGGGAAAGUUACUUGACUGGUAUUGAAUUCCUAGGCAAAUGGAAGCCUGAUUCUCAAAUGUUCAAUGAGGAAACAAGUCAGUGACCUAAUUUUUCCAGUACAGCGUCCUACUUUGAAGGACAGAUCCCAAACUUUGGUAGAUAUAUUCUGGGGAAAAUUAAUUUAGGAAAAGUUGUUUGGUUUUUUUUUUUUUUAUGAUUCACAAUGUUACCUGGAAUUGUUAAGAAUUUUGUGGAGGAACUUUUCAAAUUGUAGGUAUUAAACCAACAAAUCAAACAAUCAUAGAAACAAAACUACCCACUUCAGCUUUAGUUUUCUGAGUUGAAACAGAGUUCACUGACUUCAGCUUUCACAGACUUCUUCUCAGCCUCCAGUAUCUGCAGAUCCUACACAGUUCCUCAGAUUUCAGUAAGUAUUUUGUUCUGUGGGAUAGAGGAUCCUGGAAGUCUGAGAGCCUUAGCUCCCAUUUCCUUGAUGAACUUGAUUAUACCUUUUUUAAAAAAAAAUUAACUGUCAGACAUCAGAUCCUGAGAAUCCCAGUGCAAGAUUUCAGGUUCAAAUUCCUUGCUUUAGAGCUGGGCUCUGACCUCCUGCAGCUGCCUGCACAACGUGAUCUCUGUGGACAGGUAAGUCCUCCCUCAUUCUGGGCUAAAAUAUGUGAUAGUACAUCCUGAAGUUGUAAAUUUGCUGAAAUUAAGAUAGUGCUGUGAAAUAUUUGCUGAAUCAGUAUUUUCUGAAGCGCCUUGUGAGUUUUUAUGAAGAUUUGUGAGCAAGUAUAACAAUAAGAGCUGCUAGGUUUAGGCGGUUUUGAAAAUUGUACAGUUUUAAAUGGGAAACACGAUUUUCAACGUAUUAGCCUAAAGUUUAUUAGAAAUACUGUUUAAAAUUAUCUGUGUGAAUCGAGUGGAAUAAAUAAUUUGUUUAAUACUGUAGAAGAAAAAAGAAGCUUGCUCUUUGUCUAAAUAUCCAUUGAGAUGUCCUUGAUUUGAGCAUUUUAACAUUAUGACAUGGAGAAUUAAUGGAAAAAUAUAAUCAUGACCUAUUCUGUGUGAGCAUUCAGUGGUUGCUAGACAAUUUUCUUCAGUAACGACAGGUGAAAAAAUCAUGGUCACAGGACACUAUUACACUGGUUUAUUAAUCGUGCAGACCCUGCGUGUCUGAAUUAAGAAAUAUUACUGCCAGUUUCUCUUUUAUGGGAAAUACUCUGAUUCCAUUGUUUAAUAAAUCAUAUGUCAAAACUAAUUAGCAGGAGGUUACUUUUGAUGGUUUGAAUAUUGUUAAAGAGUAGGAAGGUUAAAAACGUAUUUUGUUGAGCAAAAGGGUGUUUUGCAAUGAUUUUCAUGCACUAUAUGUGAUGCCUGAAGCAGUUAGUCAUAACACAAGGAAAGAGAAAUUAGGUAUGUCUGGCACCUCUGCAAUUCCACACUGAUACUGAAUGAUCACCAAGACUGGGCCUACAAAUUUGCUGGAGCAAUUAUGUAAAACUUUACCUACAGGCUUAGAAUUAGAAAUAUAUCUUUUAAAAGCUGAUAUUGCUUCAUAGCACAUGGCUGCUUUUUCUACUUGUUUACUUGGAGACUAAUGCACUUGGAAAUUUCUGACUAUGGUAUGUGCAGGGCAUGGUGGGAGAGUGGUAGGAAACACAGAGUCCCCUCUCCUUUCCUUGCCAGACCUUUGCUUUUAGGAGACAGAGAGAUGCAAAUGAGCAUAACAGGGUAAGUGACUUACAGAGAGCUGCGUGUAACCACAGACUCAGGAAAUAUGAUGCAUGUGAACGAUGUAGCCAUCUAAGACUAGUUCACACCUAUCCUUAAAGAAUCGUAAAGAUUGCCUCAAAAAAACCUUGUAUAAUUUCUCUAUAUUGAAAAGAAAGACUGAAAUGGACGUUUGGAUAAAUAAACCUAGGGAGAACUGAUAGGUGAUUUUGUUUAAAUCCUUUUGAUUGCAGCAGAAAUCAAAUUUAUUUUGCUGGAGGGUGACUUACCAGGCAAAGCACAUUAAAUCACUUUGCUUCCAAGGGAGAUUGAAGCAGCAGAUACAUAUCCAUGCUGGAGAGGUAAGAUGUCUGUUACAUGCCCAUUACACAUAUUUAUGUCUGAGCUGCAAACUGAAAAGUAUUCAUGAAUUUUAUAUGUUUUAAAAGUGUUUCCAGGUAUGCCUUUAGCUUUUCAGCUAAGUCUAAUCUUAUACAAACUGCAAAUUCCCUCUGUGCCUGCUAUACCGUUUAAUUUUUCACCCGUCAAGAAGUUGUGGGAGUUUCACUGCAAGACAGUAGUAUAAAGAUGGCAAAAUGCAACCAAGCAUAUUAAAGGAUAUGUACUCCGUGCGAAUGGACAAACAGCGACUGUCAGGUCUUUACGGCACAAGUCCGGAAAGUGUCUGAUCUGGUUUUGUGGAAAUUGGGGACAUCUCUGUAGGGUCAAAUUUUAUAUAAAUGUUGUAGGACUUAGUGGCUCGUGUUGUGUUUUGUUCCAUGGCUGUAAGUCUCGAGCAGACCGCUAACAAGAAAGCUGCCACACGAUCUGCAUUUUCACAUUGAGAAAUGUUUUACUUUAGAUUUCUGGUACAGAAAGGAUGGGAACCACCUUCUUUGGGUCACAUUUGCCAUAAGUCUCUUGCCUUGGACAAGCCUGUUGUUUGGACGCAAGUCUCAGAUACACUUAGAGCACAAACAGGCAUUUUCUUGUCAUGUGAAGGAGCUAGGAAAUGCUGGGGCUGUACAUUCCUGCCUACACCUUCUGCUGUAUGGCCCAGAUGUCCAUAAGGCAAUUAUAUUACUGUAGCUGACACAGUGAAAGCAAGUUGCUCCCGUCUCUCCUAAAGAGCAGGUUGUGAGGCACUGCAGGGUGUGAUGGGAGGCAGAGACAGCUGAGCACUGCAUUAUGGAUGCAUGCAGUGUAGCACACCGUGGAGAACAUACAGAGCUUUGCUCUUGCCUGUCAUGAUAAUAACACUUGUAAGCUGUGUGGGAAGGAAGGAGAAGAUGGGGUGAAAUACUAAAUUUCUGACUUUUUGAUAGUGAAAAUAUUGUGUAGAAACCUAGGAGGAAAUGAUCUUUUUCAAAUCCAGACAAGGAACUCUGAGCUAUUUUUGCUAUGCAUUUACUGUAGCAAAUACACUUAGUGAAAAUGAGAAGCAGCACACCUUGAGAGUAAAUAUGGCAGAAACAAAGGCUGGUUUCAUCUUAUUAACAGUCUUGAAUGUUCAAGAGGUUUUAAUCCCUAAUUAGAAGUAACAGCUUUUACAUUUUUUAUAGCAUAUUGAACAUUCACUUCAGGUACAUGGAAAAUUUUGUUUCUACUUUUGAGAGACAUAAGAAGUUGUAGUAAAACAACAGGAUGUUUUAGAAUAACCUCAACAUUUAGAAUCCUGAAAACCAAAAUUUGGUUCUUUCCAAUAGCUGGAUUAUUAUUUUUUUUAAUUUAAUGAAAUUAAUAUGAUUUAUAAACAAUACCUAGAUCGCUGAAUUACGUUUGGUUUUUUUUUUCCUCUGGAGAAAAAAAGGUUUUGUGCAGAAAAGUGUCAUUGAUUUCAGUGCCUUAGGCUGUUUCCUGUUGGCUACAUACAGAUGAGAGUGGCAUCUGCACACUCACACUAUUGAUUAUACUGUCAGUUGAUGGUAAAAUUGCCCCCUCUGUGCCCACUCAAAACUGCUUCUUUGCAUGUGCAAUUAGCAGCCUUGUAGCUGGCUCUUAAAUAGUAUUGUUUAUAUGAUCUGUUACCACCAUGGUCCAUGCUGAUUAGCAUACUAUGAAAUAACUUAAUGUCCUUUGCCAGUGUCUUCAAAGCCAUUGAAGAUAAUCUGGAAUUUUGUUGUGCUUUUCUAGACUGCAGCAAUGAAAGAAAUAAUGAAGACAUCUCUAUUAGUGAUACAAAAAAUAUUAGAAGACCCCAAUCAAAUUAGUGGUAGAGCAUCUGCAGGUGUCUAGCCACUGCUUUCUGUGGCUAUAUGUGGAAGACCUAGGUUUAAAAUAAUUCUCAGAUGCUUCUGAAAUUUGUAAAUUUUCCACAUUCUUCUCUCAGUCCACAAUAAGCCAGGUGUUCUUCCAGUGAAAUACUGGACUACGGUCUGUCAGACUUACAUAAAUAAGAGGAGAUUACGACCCAAAGUCUUUAAAAUCUUUGUGUCUAAUUAUCUAUAAGUAUUCAGAGAAGUAAGAUUAAACUCUGCGAAUGUGGGCAAAUCCCACCGUAUUAGCCUUAGGUUAUUUGAAAUCAAGGAGUCUCCCUUUCUUUACUAAGAGUACUGAGUAAUAUAUUUACAGAUGAGGUGUUACUUUGAAGUCAGGAUCUUGUCUUUGAUCAAAAGCCUACAUACAGCUUCCCUCAUGUCUCUCGGAAAGAGACAGUACUUGUAUCACACUGGUGUGGGUUGUUUUUUUUAAUGUUUUGGACAGCAAAAAUGACAUUUACAUGAAACAGUAAUCCUGGGAAUGUAUGAGAUAAGACAAUUUCAACUACGAGUUGAGAGAGAGUCUCACAAGCAGACUUUAAAUCAAGUAGAAUAGCAUCAUACUCACUUUGCCUCCCUUACCUGCUGUUAAUUAAAGUAAUGAUAAAGGAGGUCUGUCAACAUUAAUAUGAUGAAAACUGAAACAUACUCAAAAUUUUCUAGAUGAAAACACUGGUAAUCAGUAUUACAGAAAAAAAGGUUUUGAGUAAAUGCUUUUAAUUCAGCUUACUUGUUUAAGAGGUGUAAAUAUACUACAGCAGAGCAAAGGCAAAGGGCAUAGAGACUGACAAUGCAGUAUUUUAUUAUGUUCCUAAGGAGGAUAGAGAAGGCACAAUACAAUUAAAAGGAAAAAAACCGCUUGAGUACUGGCUUGCUUAGUCUUAUGUAGUCAUUCAGGGCACUAACUUUAUCAGGACUGUGUAUUUGGAUCAAUGAUAUUAUCUUUCUGGUGGGUUUAUAUUGACUGACCAUGGAUUGUUAUAUGUUGGGGAUUUUUUAAAAUGUAAACAUGCGUGUGUCUAUCCUGGGGGGAAAAAAGGGAAUCUGAAAGAAUAAUAUGUUCUGUGCACACAGCAAGGAAACACAACUGAGGCAUCUCUGUAAAUAUUUUUUUAAUAAAGAGUUUCUAGCUUAUUGUAUAGCACGAGUAGACCUGAAUAUUUUGGGUGGGCGAAGCAUUACAGCUGCUCUUUGUGGACACAUAAGUAGUGUUAUCUUGGCUAAAACUCGGAAUAAGUAGCUCUGUUGUUUUAUUUUUGUGGCAUGUUAAUGUAGCAUGGACAAGUUUUUAAAUGACUCUUUGAAGCCACCAAAGCUUCUUUACUGAAACCUUUAAUGACAGAACUAUCAAAUACGUUACAGAGCAAACCACGCUGUAACACAAAGAUUGCCUUAUCCAGGCAUCACGUCUCUCAGUAUGCACUGUAAUCAUGAGUGUCCAUGAAACACUUGCUUACCUGCAAAAGGGGUAUUGGGAAGCUAUUUAUUCUUGUGCAUCAAGUCUCUUAACGUCACCUAGUAGCUCUAAAUAAGCAAAACCUGUGCUGUGUGGUUAGCUAAAUGUUUAUUGAAAAACCAUUAUGCUAGAGAAUACUUGUAGCCCUCAAGAAAUGGUGGGUUGGGACACCUGCGUUAUGGCAACGGUGUUCCCCCUUUAAGGAAAUUAAGUGCUGCUGUUGGGAGCUAAACAAGAAUGUCAGUCUCAGCCCGUGGCACAGCCAGCCUUACGGUUUGUUUGGCCAAAACUUGGGUUCCCAUAUGAGCUUGUCUCCUGUCCAUAUUCUAACCUGGAGAGAAAAAGGGACAAAGAAUUAUGACCCAUUCACAUUUCUGUAUGAUUUAUUUUUUUUUUAACUAGGAGAAAACAGAAGCAUUUUCUUUUUAAUAUAACUUUUUAUGAUUUAGUAUUCUUAAAACACUGAAACCAAAAUGGGAAAAGUAUGAUGCCUACCCAAUCAAAUGGCUGUUGAAAAAGGCAAACUAAUAUGAAAUACUAGUAGAAAAGUGCAGGCAAAUAGAAGAAUAAAGUCCAGCUACUUAAAUAUCUGGAGAAAAAAGGACUAUAGCUGUGCAAAGAGUGCUUGGAUACUGUUCUUCCAGUUACUGUAUUAAGCCAGGUGGAAUUCCACAAAGUAGAUUUCUGCUGGUGAAAUUUCUUCAGCAGAAGUGGACUAUUUUGCUUUCUGUAGUAUCGGUUGAGCCUUGUAUGUAAUACAAAGCUGCAUAACUGUAAUUUUCUGCAUUAUGUAAUUCUUACCCUUAAAACAAAAUUAGGCAAAAGAACUUAAAGGACUUCAGUGAGGAAAGGAACUAUAAAUUGUUUUGACAGGUAAUCUUUGUGAUUCAAAUAGCAUUUAUGAAGUCUGUAAAUCCAAAUUCUAACUCAACUUUGCACAUUGUACCUUAUCUUUACAGUAUGAAUAUGCCACAAUCUGCUCAAGAGUUUUUUUUAAUACUUAAAUACAAUUGCAAACUCUGUAAAUAUUCAGUAUUGCAUCUACUUUUUUUUAAAAAAAAUGUGGGCUUCCAUGAUGACUCUGACUUGAAGUGGAGUUUUCUGUCUCGAGCUAGGAAGUACAGCUGUGAAAGGGGGUAGUUUCGCCUAACCAAAACUGUGAGAGAGAGCAGGGGGGGCAUAGCAUGAUUUGAGAUGUAAGAGCAAUACUUUUUUUUUUUCUUCUGAACAUUCUACCUUGUGCUGACUCACUACUGUUUCCAGCAGCCUUCCUUAGCGUAUUUCUACCUCAAACUUAAUCUCCUUCCCAGGAUCACUUCUCUCUUCCCAGUGAUUUCAGUUUUCACUUUUUGAAAUCUUUGUCUCUGUUAUAACAACCCCAUAGAAAUAAUUAAAAUACAGAAGAAAGUAAGGGGUUUCUUCCCCAAUAUCUGAUUGGCAGCACUAACAAGAUACUUCUGUUUUUACCAUUUUCCUCUGCUUCACCUGUCCUUUAAAUUUUGGAAUGGUAACUACAUGGUGUAUGUCUGCAUUGCACCUCGCGUAAGGGAAUACUGCUCUUUGUUAAUUUGUAAUUAUAUUAUUGUAUUUUGAUUUAGUUUGAAUGAGUGUCAUCAUCUUGAAUUCAGAACUGAAUAGAAAAAAAAGUAUCAUUACUCCCAACUAUAAGUGGAAAUAAAUAAAGACAAAAUAAUCUCUUUGUUAUUGUUUAUCUUUUUCUCAAUAACCCAAAAUAAUGAAUUGUUCUUCCAUCCUACAACAUAGUCUUCCCUUAGGGAACUAGGAAAUGAGAUAUCAAGAAUGUCAAAAAUCAAGAUGCAAUUAAAAAGCCUGGGAGUGUAAGGUCUCAGAAAUACCAGAGUGCUUUUGGACCUUCAGUUUGCACUUCAUAAGCAGAGCACACAAACUUUCACUCCAGACUUGUAGUCACCUCUACAAGUUUGUCAUAAGAGUUCACGGCUAAGAGAAAUAGCUUUUUGAUAUUUUCCUUUUCCACAUCAAUCCUCUGUCUGUUUUUUCUUCAAAUGCUGAUUUCUUUAGGCUUCUGGUGCCCUGAGAAGUGUAGAAAUGUGAGAUGCGAAAAGAAAACCUUGGAAGUACUUUAACAAAGCAGCUUUGGUGUCUCACAACUCCUGCCCAAAUGUAUAGGAGCAUAUACAAUGAAAGUACUGUCUUUGCAUUAUUAAUAAUGCUAUCAACUGAAUAGCAUAAUGCUUUAUAAUUUUAUAACCUUCUUCCAAAAUUAAUUCUGCAUUCUAUAAAAAUUAAAUCAGUCUAAGUCUCUGCCAGUUCAGUGGA